ACACUCUAUACGGAGUUACAAAGGACGACAUUAGACGAAUCAUCUGGAAAGAUGAAUCAAAGAAGGUAAUAAUCCUGUAGUCGAAAAUGUUGUCUCUCUUGAGUGGAUCCUGAGUACGACGGAGCACGUGAAAUUCCGUCGGAAUCUGGGAGGACCAUCUCCUAAGGCUAAAUACUCUCUAGUGACCGAUAGUGAACCAGUACCGUGAGGGAAAGGUGAAAAGCACCCCGGAAGGGGAGUGAAAUAGAACCUGAAACCGUGUGCUUACAAGUAGUCAGAGCCCGUUAAUGGGUGAUGGCGUGCCUUUUGUAGAAUGAACCGGCGAGUUACGAUUUGAUGCAAGGUUAAGCAGUAAAUGUGGAGCCGUAGCGAAAGCGAGUCUGAAUAGGGCGUUUAGUAUUUGGUCGUAGACCCGAAACCAGGUGAUCUACCCUUGGUCAGGUUGAAGUUCAGGUAACACUGAAUGGAGGACCGAACCGACUUACGUUGAAAAGUGAGCGGAUGAACUGAGGGUAGCGGAGAAAUUCCAAUCGAACCUGGAGAUAGCUGGUUCUCUCCGAAAUAGCUUUAGGGCUAGCCUCAAGUGAUGAUUAUUGGAGGUAGAGCACUGUUUGGACGAGGGGCCCCUCUCGGGUUACCGAAUUCAGACAAACUCCGAAUGCCAAUUAAUUUAACUUGGGAGUCAGAACAUGGGUGAUAAGGUCCGUGUUCGAAAGGGAAACAGCCCAGACCACCAGCUAAGGUCCCAAAAUAUAUGUUAAGUGGAAAAGGAUGUGGCGUUGCCCAGACAACUAGGAUGUUGGCUUAGAAGCAGCCAUCAUUUAAAGAGUGCGUAAUAGCUCACUAGUCGAGUGACACUGCGCCGAAAAUGUACCGGGGCUAAACAUAUUACCGAAGCUGUGGAUUGUCCUUUGGACAAUGGUAGGAGAGCGUUCUAAGGGCGUUGAAGCAUGAUCGUAAGGACAUGUGGAGCGCUUAGAAGUGAGAAUGCCGGUGUGAGUAGCGAAAGACGGGUGAGAAUCCCGUCCACCGAUUGACUAAGGUUUCCAGAGGAAGGCUCGUCCGCUCUGGGUUAGUCGGGUCCUAAGCUGAGGCCGACAGGCGUAGGCGAUGGAUAACAGGUUGAUAUUCCUGUACCACCUAUAAUCGUUUUAAUCGAUGGGGGGACGCAGUAGGAUAGGCGAAGCGUGCGAUUGGAUUGCACGUCUAAGCAGUAAGGCUGAGUAUUAGGCAAAUCCGGUACUCGUUAAGGCUGAGCUGUGAUGGGGAGAAGACAUUGAGUCUUCGAGUCGUUGAUUUCACACUGCCGAGAAAAGCCUCUAGAUAGAAAAUAGGUGCCCGUACCGCAAACCGACACAGGUAGUCAAGAUGAGAAUUCUAAGGUGAGCGAGCGAACUCUCGUUAAGGAACUCGGCAAAAUGACCCCGUAACUUCGGGAGAAGGGGUGCUCUUUAGGGUUAACGCCCAGAAGAGCCGCAGUGAAUAGGCCCAAGCGACUGUUUAUCAAAAACACAGGUCUCUGCUAAACCGUAAGGUGAUGUAUAGGGGCUGACGCCUGCCCGGUGCUGGAAGGUUAAGAGGAGUGGUUAGCUUCUGCGAAGCUACGAAUCGAAGCCCCAGUAAACGGCGGCCGUAACUAUAACGGUCCUAAGGUAGCGAAAUUCCUUGUCGGGUAAGUUCCGACCCGCACGAAAGGCGUAACGAUUUGGGCACUGUCUCAACGAGAGACUCGGUGAAAUCAUAGUACCUGUGAAGAUGCAGGUUACCCGCGACAGGACGGAAAGACCCCGUGGAGCUUUACUGUAGCCUGAUAUUGAAAUUCGGCACAGCUUGUACAGGAUAGGUAGGAGCCUUUGAAACGUGAGCGCUAGCUUACGUGGAGGCGCUGGUGGGAUACUACCCUAGCUGUGUUGGCUUUCUAACCCGCACCACUUAUCGUGGUGGGAGACAGUGUCAGGCGGGCAGUUUGACUGGGGCGGUCGCCUCCUAAAAGGUAACGGAGGCGCUCAAAGGUUCCCUCAGAAUGGUUGGAAAUCAUUCAUAGAGUGUAAAGGCAUAAGGGAGCUUGACUGCGAGACCUACAAGUCGAGCAGGGUCGAAAGACGGACUUAGUGAUCCGGUGGUUCCGCAUGGAAGGGCCAUCGCUCAACGGAUAAAAGCUACCCCGGGGAUAACAGGCUUAUCUCCCCCAAGAGUUCACAUCGACGGGGAGGUUUGGCACCUCGAUGUCGGCUCAUCGCAUCCUGGGGCUGUAGUCGGUCCCAAGGGUUGGGCUGUUCGCCCAUUAAAGCGGUACGCGAGCUGGGUUCAGAACGUCGUGAGACAGUUCGGUCCCUAUCCGUCGUGGGCGUAGGAAAUUUGAGAGGAGCUGUCCUUAGUACGAGAGGACCGGGAUGGACAUACCUCUGGUGUACCAGUUGUCGUGCCAACGGCAUAGCUGGGUAGCUAUGUGUGGACGGGAUAAGUGCUGAAAGCAUCUAAGCAUGAAGCCCCCCUCAAGAUGAGAUUUCCCAACUUCGGUUAUAAGAUCCCUCAAAGAUGAUGAGGUUAAUAGGUUCGAGGUGGAAGCAUGGUGACAUGUGGAGCUGACGAAUACUAAUCGAUCGAAGACUUAAUCAA
rnacentral:rRNA from 1 species